rnacentral:rRNA from 1 species
AACGAACGUUGGCGGCGUGGAUUAGGCAUGCAAGUCGGGGGAAUCUCCCGCAAGGGAGGGAACCGGCGUAAGGGGCAGUAAUGCGUGGGUACCUACCCCGGGGUUCGGGAUAGCUGUCCGAGAGGGCAGGUAAUACCGGAUGACCUGGUGACAGCAAAGAUUUAUCGCCCUGGGAGGGGCCCACGUGAUAUUAGCUAGUUGGUGAGGUAACGGCUCACCAAGGCUUAGAUGUCUAGCGGGUGUGAGAGCACGACCCGCGCCACUGGCACUGAGACACUGGCCAGACACCUACGGGUGGCUGCAGUCGAGGAUCUUCGGCAAUGGGCGCAAGCCUGACCGAGCGACGCCGCGUGUGCGAUGAAGGCCUUCGGGUUGUAAAGCACUGUCGGGGGGGAGAAAAGGGUAAAACUUUGAUCUAUCCCCGGAGGAAGCACGGGCUAAGUUCGUGCCAGCCGCCGCAGUAACAC